CCCCCGGACCAGCCUGGCUCACCAGCAGGCACGGGCCGGGCACACCAUCCCCCUGGACUAGUGUGCUGCCUCACACCAGGACCAGCCUGGCUCACCAGCAGGCACAGGCCGGGCACACCAUCCAUCCUCCCUGACCAGCGUGCUGCCUCGAACCACAUCUAGGCGCCUUGGUCUGACCGCUAAUAGCGUUCCCAUUAUGAUGAAGGAACUCUCGCCACUUUUCUCAUGUGCAGAAGAAAUACACACAGUCCCCAUAGCUAUAACCCACCAGCAGGCACGGGGACCCCUAGCAUCUCAUGUUGGUGCCCAGUCCCUCAGCCUGGCCGCCCCACACGACCUGCAGGGAUGGCUUCAUGGCAGGCCAGCUGUGGUGUCCUGUGCAGUGGUUACUGCGGGAGGUGAUUUCUUCACUGUAGCAGGGUGGCCCUCUGCCGCCUCCUGGUGCUCUAGGCCUGGUGAGCAUCUUCCUGGAGGAAGACAGGACCUCUCCUGACUCCACACCAGGUGGCAGCUCAGGAAGCACAGGCGAGGCCACCUGGCGUGGCCGUGGUGAGGACGGCAAUGCACCACAAGAUGUGGCCCUGCUGGGGCAGCAGGUGGCUAGGCUCACUCAACCGUUCACUCAGACACGCUGCAACUGUUUAUUCCAGAAUCAGAGGUUGGAAACCCAACUGUAUAUAGACUGAAAGCAAAACAAAUACACAACUGAACAUGAUAUAUGCAGUCAUCCA